UUAUUGGGUUUAAAGGGUGCGUAGGCGGGGUAGCAAGUCAGUGGUGAAAGCCUACAGCUUAACUGUAGAACUGCCAUUGAUACUGUUACUCUUGAAUACAGUUGAAGUGGGUGGAAUGUGUGGUGUAGCGGUGAAAUGCUUAGAUAUCACACAGAACGCCAAUUGCGAAGGCAGCUCACUAAGCUGUUAUUGACGCUGAGGCACGAAAGCGUGGGGAUCAAACAGGAUUAGAUACCCUGGUAGUCCACGCCGUAAACUAUGAUGACUCGCUGUUGGCGAUAUACUGUCAGCGGCUGAGCGAAAGCAUUAAGUCAUCCACCUGGGGAGUACGAUCGCAAGGUUGAAACUCAAAGGAAUUGACGGGGGCCCGCACAAGCGGAGGAACAUGUGGUUUAAUUCGAUGAUACGCGAGGAACCUUACCUGGGUUUGAACGUAGAGUGACCGGUGCCGAAAGGUGCCUUUCCUUCGGGACAGUCUACGAGGUGCUGCAUGGUUGUCGUCAGCUCGUGCCGUGAGGUGUCGGGUUAAGUCCCAUAACGAGCGCAACCCCUAUCGUUAGUUGCCAGCGAGUAAUGUCGGGAACUCUAACGAAGCUGCCAGCGUAAGCUGUGAGGAAGGUGGGGAUGACGUCAAAUCAGCACGGCCCUUAUAUCCAGGGCUACACACGUGUUACAAUGGCCGGUACAGAGGGCAGCCACCUGGCGACAGGGAGCUAAUCCAUAAAGCCGGUCUCAGUUCGGAUCGAAGUCUGCAACCCGACUUCGUGAAGCUGGAUUCGCUAGUAAUCGCAUAUCAGCCAUGAUGCGGUGAAUACGUUCCCGGGCCUUGUACACACCGCCCGUCAAGCCAUGGAAGCUGGGGGUACCUAAAGCUCGUAACCGAAAGGAGCGG
rnacentral:rRNA from 1 species